GACUAUGCCCAUACCAUGUUGAAUGUGACCAAUCUUGUCUGAUCUUAGAAGCUAAGCAGGGUCAGAGACCUGUUAGUAAUUGGAUGGGAGACAGCCUGAGAAUACCACAUGCUGUAGGCU
rnacentral:rRNA from 1 species